rnacentral:misc_RNA from 1 species
GAAAUGCGAUAAGUAGUGUGAAUUGCAGAAUUCAGUGAAUCAUCGAAUCUUUGAACGCACCUUGCGCUCCUUGGUAUUCCUUGGAGCAUGCCUGUUUGAGUAUCAUGAAAUCUUCAAAGUAAAUCUUUUGUUAACUCAAUUGGUUUCUACUUUGGUAUUGGAGGUCUUUGCAGCUUCACACCUGCUCCUCUUUGUUCAUUAGCUGGAUCUCAGUGUUAUGCUUGGUUCCACUCGGCGUGAUAAGUUAUCUAUCGCUGAGGACACUGUAAAAGGUGGUCAAGGUAAAUGCAGAUGAACCGCUUCUAAUAGUCCAUUGACUUGGACAAUACUUUUAUGAUCUGAUCUCAAAUCAGGUAGGACUACCCGCUGAACUUAAGC